UGAUGCAGCCAUGCCGCGUGUAUGAAGAAGGCCUUCGGAUUGUAAAGUACUGUCAGCGGGGAGGAAGGCGAUGCGGUUAAUAUCCUCGUCGAUUGACGUUACCCGCAGAAGAAGCACCGGCUAACUCCGUG
rnacentral:rRNA from 1 species